rnacentral:rRNA from 1 species
UCGGGAAUUUUGGGCAAUGGGCGAAAGCCUGACCCAGCAACGCCGCGUGAAGGAUGAAGUAUUUCGGUAUGUAAACUUCGAAAGAAUAGGAAGAAUAAAUGACGGUACUAUUUAUAAGGUCCGGCUAACUACGUGCCAGCAGCCGCGGUAAUACGUAGGGACCAAGCGUUGUUCGGAUUUACUGGGCGUAAAGGGCGCGUAGGCGGCAUGACAAGUCACUUGUGAAAUCUCUGGGCUUAACCCAGAACGGCCAAGUGAUACUGUCGCGCUAGAGUGCAGAAGGGGCAAUCGGAAUUCUUGGUGUAGCGGUGAAAUGCGUAGAUAUCAAGAGGAACACCUGAGGUGAAGACGGGUUGCUGGGCUGACACUGACGCUGAGGCGCGAAAGCCAGGGGAGCAAACGGGAUUAGGAUACCCCAGUAGUCCCUGAGCGGGCUGGCAAGGCGCAU